UACGUAGGGGGCAAGCGUUGUCCGGAAUCAUUGGGCGUAAAGAGCGUGUAGGCGGCUCGGUAAGUCCGCUGUAAAAGUCCAGGGCUCAACCCCGAGCCUGCGGUGGAUACUGCCUCGCUUGAGUCCGGGAGGGGAGAGCGGAACUCCUAGUGUAGCGGUGAAAUGCGCAGAUAUUAGGAAGAACACCGGUGGCGAAGGCGGCUCUCUGGAACGGUACUGACGCUGAGACGCGAAAAGCGUGGGGGAGCAAACAGG
rnacentral:rRNA from 1 species